CCGGCGCACGGGUGAGUAACGCGUAUGCAACCUGCCUGAUACCGGGGUAUAGCCCAUGGAAACGUGGAUUAACACCCCAUAGUACUUUUAUCCUGCAUGGGAUGUGAGUUAAAUGUUCAAGGUAUCGGAUGGGCAUGCGUCCUAUUAGUUAGUUGGCGGGGUAACAGCCCACCAAGACGAUGAUAGGUAGGGGUUCUGAGAGGAAGGUCCCCCACACUGGAACUGAGACGCGGUCCAG
rnacentral:rRNA from 1 species